rnacentral:rRNA from 1 species
UGGGGAAUAUUGGACAAUGGGGGCAACCCUGAUCCAGCCAUGCCGCGUGUGUGAAGAAGGCCUUAGGGUUGUAAAGCACUUUCAGUGAGGAGGAAGUGAUGAGUUUUAAUAGAGCUGGUCAUUGACGUUACUCACAGAAGAAGCACCGGCUAACUCCGUGCCAGCAGCCGCGGUAAUACGGAGGGUGCAAGCGUUAAUCGGAAUUACUGGGCGUAAAGCGCACGCAGGCGGUUAAUUAAGUUGGAUGUGAAAUCCCCGGGCUCAACCUGGGAACUGCAUUCAAAACUGGUUAGCUAGAGUCUUGUAGAGGGGGGUAGAAUUCCAAGUGUAGCGGUGAAAUGCGUAGAGAUUUGGAGGAAUACCGGUGGCGAAGGCGGCCCCCUGGACAAAGACUGACGCUCAGGUGCGAAAGCGUGGGGAGCAAACAGG